AUUGAACGCUGGCGGCGUGCCUAACACAUGCAAGUCGAGCGAGAAAGGGGCUUCGGCCCUGAGUAGAGCGGCGAACGGGUGAGUAACGCGUGGAUAAACUACCGAUGAGUUCGGGAUAACGGAUGGAAACGUCCGCUAAUACCGGCUACGCUUCCAAUUUAGAUUGGGAGGAAAGGCGGCCUCUGGUUCAAGCUGUCGCUCAUUGAUGUGUCCGCGUCCCAUUAGCUAGUUGGCGGGGUAAUGGCCCACCAAGGCUACGAUGGGUAGCCGGUCUGAGAGGAUGACCGGCCACACUGGAACUGAAACACGGUCCAGACUCCUACGGGAGGCAGCAGUGGGGAAUAUUGCACAAUGGGCGAAAGCCUGAUGCAGCAACGCCGCGUGAGCGAUGAAGGCC
rnacentral:rRNA from 1 species